CCUACGGGGUGCAGCAGUGAGGAAUAUUGGUCAAUGGGCGAGAGCCUGAACCAGCCAAGCCGCGUGAAGGAUGAAGGAUCUAGGGUUUGUAACCUUCUUUUAUAUGGGAGUAAAGUGUGGAACGUGUGCCUGUCUGUAUGUCCCAUAAGAAUAAGCAUCGGCUAACUCCGUGCCGGCAGCCGCGGUAAUACGGAGGAUGCGAGCGUUAUCCGGAUUUAUUGGGUUUAAAGGGUGCGUAGGUGGUUAAUGAAGUCAGCGGUGAAAGUUUGGGGCUCAACCAUAAAAUUGCCGUUGAAACUGGUUGUCUUGAGUAUAGUUGAGGGAGGCGGAAUGCGUGGUGUAGCGGUGAAAUGCAGAGAUAUCACGCAGAACUCCGAUUGCGAAGGCAGCUUACUAAACUAUAACUGACACUGAGGCACGAAAGCGUGGGGAUCAAACAGGAUUAGAUACCCUAGUAGUC
rnacentral:rRNA from 1 species